UUGCCAGCCCGCUCAGAAACUCAAAGGAAUUGACGGGGGCCCGCACAAGCGGUGGAGCAUGUGGUUUAAUUCGAUGGUACGCGAGGAACCUUACCAGGGCUUGACAUACGUUGGAAGCGCAUCGAAAGGUGCGUGCCGCUUGCGGCCGGCGUACAGGUGCUGCAUGGCUGUCGUCAGCUCGUGCUGUGAAGUGUUGGGUUAAGUCCCGUAACGAGCGCAACCCUUGUCCUUAGUUACCAGCACGUUAUGGUGGGCACUCUAAGGAGACUGCCGGUGACAAACCGGAGGAAGGUGGGGAUGACGUCAAGUCAUCAUGGCCCUUACGGCCUGGGCUACACACGUGCUACAAUGGUCGGUACAAAGGGUUGCCAAGCCGCGAGGUGGAGCUAAUCCCAUAAAACCGAUCGUAGUCCGGAUCGCAGUCUGCAACUCGACUGCGUGAAGUCGGAAUCGCUAGUAAUCGUGAAUCAGAAUGUCACGGUGAAUACGUUCCCGGGCCUU
rnacentral:rRNA from 1 species